CAGGCUAAAGCUUUAUGAAGCGUUUUACUUACAUUAAAAAGAUUGUUUAUUAUGAAUAUAGCCUGA
rnacentral:tRNA from 1 species